AUGCCUAACACAUGCAAGUCGAACGAGACUUCGGUCUAGUGGCGGACGGGUGAGUAACGCGUAGGAACCUGCCAAGCAGUGGGGAAUAACAGCUGGAAACGGCUGCUAAUACCGCAUACGCCCUUCGGGGGAAAGAUUUAUCGCUGUUUGAGGGUCCUGCGUUCGAUUAGCUAGUUGGUGAGGUAACGGCCCACCAAGGCGACGAUCGAUAGCUGGUCUGAGAGGAUGAUCAGCCACACUGGGACUGAGACACGGCCCAGACUCC
rnacentral:rRNA from 1 species